rnacentral:lncRNA from 1 species
GUCUUUUUGAUUCCAAGCCCAGUGCUCUAUCCACUCUAUCCACAACUAUCAUCUCUCUAUGUAAUUGGGAAAAUAAAAUCACCCAAAGUAAGCCUAUCUGAUCAGUGUAGACCAGGAGCUCCUAAACUAUGGUCCAUGGCCUUGUUUUAAAAUACAUAUUUAUAAUCAGAUUUCAAUAUGAUUGGUUUCCUUUAUGAUCACACACAUAUUAUAUAAGAAAAGAUUGCUCCAAGAAGAACUUCAUAGUUUCACCAGAUUACCAAAGGGUCCAUGACCCCAAAAGGGUAAGAAUGUGUGAGAUAGAGGGAUACUGAUGGCAUUUGGGUUUGGUUUUUAUACCCAGGAGAAGUCAGAGAUGAAUGAUCCAGGAAAGGAACGAAGCUCUGAUGCCAAUGAGACUCUAGAGGGUGAAGAAGUUCCACUUGAGGGUCCAAAGGCCUCUAUCCCACAAGAGUCCCAGGAAAUGAUCCUUCUUCAAGAACAGCUGGUGACUAUCAAAGAGAUGAAUAAGGACCUCUCCUUAGAACUGGCCCAGAGCCACCAGCGUCUAAGGAUCUGUUUAGACCAGCUGGACCAGCUGCAGACAGAGAAGAAGAUUUCCCACAGCCAGAUCCAAGUCCUAGAGACUGAGAGGGACCAGCUGGUGGGAGAGAACUUGGUCCUAUUGUCUGUGCUUCAGGGACUCACACCAGCUCCCUGGCAAAAUGGUGAGGCUAGUAGAGAUCCUCACUUCCUGGAGUUGGCAACUUCCCAGCAGGAGCCAGAAGAGGAAGCAUUGUGCUCCAGGACCCACCAGGAGGUAGUUCAGUAUUGGAAAGCUCGAUGGCAUCAGGUGGCAAAUGAGCUGAAAUCCAAGGAGGAGGAACUGGAGAUGAUCCAGAGGCAGAGGAGAAGCUGGUCAUGCCAGAUCCCCUGGAUCCAAGAGCUUCUUGUAGGGGAAGAGGAAGACCUCGAUAAGUUGAAAGAUGCUGUGGGCAGGUAGGUGACUUCUGAACCUUAUUGGCUGCCGGAUGGUGUUUGGAUCUGGGAGGGGAAGGAGUAGGGGCUGAAGACUUAUUUAGGAGCUGUCUGGUAGGAAGGGCAGGGAUUCCAUAGCCUUCCUUACUGUAGUUCCCUGAUGAAGGAAUAAUCCCCACAUUGGUUAAUGGGUCUCCAUGAGUCUUAUUGACUAGAAUUGUGGUUGAGGUUGACUUGGAAGAGGAAGGUAAGGAGUCUAGAGUGAAAGGUAGAAG